rnacentral:rRNA from 1 species
UCACCUCUAGCAUAACUAGUAUUAGAGGCACUGCCUGCCCAGUGACCAAUCGUUAAACGGCCGCGGUAUCCUGACCGUGCAAAGGUAGCAUAAUCACUUGUUCUCUAAAUAAGGACUUGUAUGAAUGGCCACACGAGGGUUUUACUGUCUCUUACUUUUAAUCAGUGAAAUUGACCUCCCCGUGAAGAGGCGGGGAUAACGAAACAAGACGAGAAGACCCUAUGGAGCUUUAAUUAACCAACCCAAAAACCACAAUCUAAACCACCAAGGGAUAAAAAAGCUUUACAUGGGUUGGCAAUUUCGGUUGGGGUGACCUCGGAGCAUAAAAAACCCUCCGAGUGAUUAAAGCCUAGGCCUACCAGCCAAAGCACACUAUCACUUAUUGAUCCAAAAUAUUGAUCAACGGAACAAGUUACCCUAGGGAUAACAGCGCAAUCCUAUUCUAGAGUUCAUAUCGACAAUAGGGUUUACGACCUCGAUGUUGGAUCAGGACAUCCUAAUGGUGCAGCCGCUAUUAAGGGUUCGUUUGUUCAACGAUUAAAGUCCU